GAUGAACGCUGGCGGCGUGCCUAAUACAUGCAAGUCGAGCGAACGGACGAGAAGCUUGCUUCUCUGAUGUUAGCGGCGGACGGGUGAGUAACACGUGGAUAACCUACCUAUAAGACUGGGAUAACUUCGGGAAACCGGAGCUAAUACCGGAUAAUAUUUUGAACCGCAUGGUUCAAAAGUGAAAGACGGUCUUGCUGUCACUUAUAGAUGGAUCCGCGCUGCAUUAGCUAGUUGGUAAGGUAACGGCUUACCAAGGCAACGAUGCAUAGCCGACCUGAGAGGGUGAUCGGCCACACUGGAACUGAGACACGGUCCAGACUCCUACGGGAGGCAGCAGUAGGGAAUCUUCCGCAAUGGGCGAAAGCCUGACGGAGCAACGCCGCGUGAGUGAUGAAGGUCUUCGGAUCGUAAAACUCUGUUAUUAGGGAAGAACAUAUGUGUAAGUAACUGUGCACAUCUUGACGGUACCUAAUCAGAAAGCCCACGGCUAACUACUUGCCAGCAGCCGCGGUAAUACGUAGGUGGCGAGCGUUAUCCGGAAUUAUUGGGCGUAAAGCGCGCGUAGGCGGUUUUUUAAGUCUGAUGUGAAAGCCCACGGCUCAACCGUGGAGGGUCAUUGGAAACUGGAAAACUUGAGUGCAGAAGAGGAAAGUGGAAUUCCAUGUGUAGCGGUGAAAUGCGCAGAGAUAUGGAGGAACACCAGUGGCGAAGGCGACUUUCUGGUCUGUAACUGACGCUGAUGUGCGAAAGCGUGGGGAUCAAACAGGAUUAGAUACCCUGGUAGUCCACGCCGUAAACGAUGAGUGCUAAGUGUUAGGGGGUUUCCGCCCCUUAGUGCUGCAGCUAACGCAUUAAGCACUCCGCCUGGGGAGUACGACCGCAAGGUUGAAACUCAAAGGAAUUGACGGGGACCCGCACAAGCGGUGGAGCAUGUGGUUUAAUUCGAAGCAACGCGAAGAACCUUACCAAAUCUUGACAUCCUUUGACAACUCUAGAGAUAGAGCUUUCCCCUUCGGGGGACAAAGUGACAGGUGGUGCAUGGUUGUCGUCAGCUCGUGUCGUGAGAUGUUGGGUUAAGUCCCGCAACGAGCGCAACCCUUAAGCUUAGUUGCCAUCAUUAAGUUGGGCACUCUAAGUUGACUGCCGGUGACAAACCGGAGGAAGGUGGGGAUGACGUCAAAUCAUCAUGCCCCUUAUGAUUUGGGCUACACACGUGCUACAAUGGACAAUACAAAGGGCAGCGAAACCGUGAGGUCAAGCAAAUCCCAUAAAGUUGUUCUCAGUUCGGAUUGUAGUCUGCAACUCGACUACAUGAAGCUGGAAUCGCUAGUAAUCGUAGAUCAGCAUGCUACGGAGAAUACGUUCCCGGGUCU
rnacentral:rRNA from 1 species